GUCAGGGAACUACGAGCAAAGCUUAAAACCCAAAGGACUUGACGGUGCCCCAUAUCCCCCUAGAGGAGCCUGUCCUGUAAUCGAUAAUCCCCGUUUAACCUCACCAUAUCUAGCUUAUCAGCCUGUAUACUUCCGUCGCAAGCCUACCACAUGAGCGAAGCUUAGUUAGCCCAACGUCCACACAUAAAUGUGCUUAUGUCGACAAUACGUCAGGUCAAAGUGCAGCAAACGUUAUGGGAUGAGAUUGGCUACACUUUUUAACUUAAAAGAAACGGAAAACAAUAAUGAAACUUUGUCAGAAGGUGGAUUUAGUAGUAAAAGAAAAAUAUAAAAUUUCUUUUAACUCGGCACUGGGGUGUGU
rnacentral:rRNA from 1 species